rnacentral:lncRNA from 1 species
CUCCCUCUCCCAUCUUUCAUUCUCUCUCCCGUCUUUCACUCUCUCCCUCCCUCCCUCUCUGUCUCUCCCGUCUUUCACUCUCUCUCCCGUCUUUCACUCUGUCUCCCGUCUUUCACUCUCUCUCCCGUCUUUCACUCUCUCUCCCGUCUUUCACUCUCUCCCUCCCUCCCUCUGUCUCUCUCCCGUCUUUCACUCUCUCUCCCGUCUUUCACUCUCUCUCCCUCUCUCUCGUCUUUCAUUCUCUCUCCCUCCCUCCCUCUCUCUCCAGUCUUUCAUUCUCUCUCCCAUCUUUCACUCUCUCCCUCCCUCCCUCUCUCUCUCUCCCUCCCUCUCUCUCUCUCUCUCCCGUCUUUCACUCUCUCUCUCCCUCUCUCUCCCGUCUUUCAUUCUCUCUCCCUCCCUCUCUCUCUCUCUCCCGUCUUUCACUCUCUCUCCCGUCUUUCACUCUCUCCCUCCCUCCCUCUGUCUCUCUCCCGUCUUUCACUCUCUCUCCCGUCUUUCACUCUCUCUCCCAUCUUUCAUUCUCUCUCCCUCCCUCUCUCUCCCUCCAUCUCUCUCUCUCUCCCGUCUUUCACUCUCUCUCCCUCUCUCUCGUCUUUCAUUCUCUCUCCCUCCCUCUCUCUCCAGUCUUUCAUUCUCUCUCCCAUCUUUCACUCUCUCCCUCCCUCCCUCUCUCUCUCUCCCGUCUUUCAUUCUCUCUCCCUCCCUCUCUCUAUCUCCCGUCUUUCACUCUCUCUCUCCCUCUCUCUCCCGUCUUUCAUUCUCUCUCCCUCCCUCUCUCGCUCUCUCCCGUCUUUCGCUCUCUCUCCCGUCUUUCAUUCUCUCUCCCUCCCUCUCUCUCUCUCUCCCGUCUUUCACUCUCUCUCUCUCCCGUCUUUCACUCUCUCCCUCCCUCCCUCUCCCAUCUUUCACUCUCUCCCUCCCUCCCUCUCUCUCUCCCUCUUUCACCGCCCUUCCUCUCAUUCCCUCUCCUUUCACUGAUAUCCAAACAGUUCUGACCGCAUGCCAAGGACUCACAAAGACACAUUGUUUCGGAGCGUACGCACACACACACACAGACAACGUUCCCUCUCUCUUUUUCACUCACACACACAAUUAAUCUGUGUUAGCGUGAGAUUAAAUUACAGUGUAAAACGCAGUAGAUAUGCUGACUUCAAAAGCUUGUCUGUGGCUGUAGAAGACU